AGUGAAAGCUGGCGGUAGGCCUAACACACGCAAGUCGAACGGCAGCACAGUAAGAGCUUGCUCUUACGGGUGGCGAGUGGCGGACGGGUGAGGAAUACAUCGGAAUCUACUUUUUCGUGGGGGAUAACGUAGGGAAACUUACGCUAAUACCGCAUACGACCUACGGGUGAAAGCAGGGGAUCUUCGGACCUUGCGCGAUUGAAUGAGCCGAUGUCGGAUUAGCUAGUUGGCGGGGUAAAGGCCCACCAAGGCGACGAUCCGUAGCUGGUCUGAGAGGAUGAUCAGCCACACUGGAACUGAGACACGGUCCAGACUCCUACGGGAGGCAGCAGUGGGGAAUAUUGGACAAUGGGCGCAAGCCUGAUCCAGCCAUACCGCGUGGGUGAAGAAGGCCUUCGGGUUGUAAAGCCCUUUUGUUGGGAAAGAAAAGCAGCAGGUUAAUACCCCGCUGUUCUGACGGUACCCAAAGAAUAAGCACCGGCUAACUUCGUG
rnacentral:rRNA from 1 species